AGCAGCCGCGGUAAUUCCAGCUCCAAUAGCGUAUAUUAAAGUUGCUGCAGUUAAAAAGCUCGUAGUUGAAUUUCGGGACCAUCAUGUCGGUCGUGCCUCGGUACGUACUGGCAUUGUUGGUUUCUCCCUUCUGACGAACCAUGAUGUCAUUAAUUUGGUGUCAUGGGGAAUCAGGACUGUUACUUUGAAAAAUUAGAGUGUUUAAAGCAGGCUCACGCUUGAAUACAUUAGCAUGGAAUAAUGAAAUAGGACGUUUGAUUCUAUUUUGUUGGUUUCUAGGAUCGACGUAAUGAUUAAUAGGGAUAGUUGGGGGCAUUAGUAUUCAAUUGUCAGAGGUGAAAUUCUUGGAUUUAUUGAAGACUAACUACUGCGAAAGCAUUUGCCAAGGAUGUUUUCAUUAAUCAAGAACGAAAGUUAGGGGAUCGAAGACGAUCAGAUACCGUCGUAGUC
rnacentral:rRNA from 1 species